GAUGAACGCUGGCGGCGUGCCUAAUACAUGCAAGUCGAGCGAACAGACGAGGAGCUUGCACCUCUGACGUUAGCGGCGGACGGGUGAGUAACACGUGGAUAACCUACCUAUAAGACUGGGAUCACUUCGGGAAACCGGAGCUAACACCGGAUAAUAUAUUGAACCGCAUGGUUCAAUGGUGAAAGACGGUUUUGCUGUCACUUAUAGAUGGAUCCGCGCCUCAUUAGCUAGUUGGUAAGGUAACGGCUUACCAAGGCGACGAUGCGUAACCGCCCUAAGAGGGUCAUCGACCACCCUGGCACUGCGCCACGGCCCCGACUACGAGGGAAGGCAGCAGUCGCAACACUGCGGAAUUGGACGACAGCCCAACAUAGCCAUACCGCGUCUGUAACGACGGUGUAGGGAACGGAAGCCUGAGGUAUCAGGGAAGAGCUGGUAUGUAGGUUACUGUGUAGUCCAGGACGGUACACACUGAGAAAGCCACGGCUAACUACGUG
rnacentral:rRNA from 1 species